rnacentral:tRNA from 4 species
GACCCCAUGGUGUAGUGGUCAGCACUCCACCCUUUCACGGUGGCAGCACGGGUUCGAAUCCCGUUGGGGUCGCCA